AUGGAACUCUCAGGGGUGAUCCAUGACAGAAGAUUCUGUCCCCAUGCCUGGGUGCUGCCUAAGACCCCAGAUCCUUGAUUAUAUAGCCUGGGUUGUGCCAAGGGAGGCCCUGACAAAAUGAGGUGGAAGGUCCUGUAGUUCUGUGAAGUUCCAAAUGGGAAAUGGGGUUGGUUAUUGAAAGUGGAGAGGCAUAACCUUUCUUGCGCCCCUGACUUUUGAGACAGGGUGUUGCCUCCACUCUAUAUUUAGCGUUGGUGGGCCGAGAACCCAGAGAAAGAGGAAAUGGUUGGUGAGCACGAGUACAGUGUUCCCGGCUGACCAAGGGGGCGGCCUUGAGCCUGUCCUUGGUUCCCAGGUGUCCUUGAGGAGGUCUAGAGCACUUGAAUUCCCCCGCACUUCUGUAUUCACAGUUAAAGAAGUAAUCCAUGCCUAAUGAUGCCAUAAACACCAUCACACCUUCUUUUGUGUAAAUAAUGUCUGAUAAAAUGAGGUGUGAGCCUGCUGUUGCAAAGAACACUUAGCUGUUAAAUGCUUUCCUUUCCACUCCAUUGACUUUCCCUAUUUAUAGCUAUUCCAGCCCAGCGGUUCCUGUCAUAUUCAUUUCCUGCCAGCUGCUGGUUUCCUUAUCUUAGGGAAACACAGAGGUGCCUCCCUAGCACCACCCAGUUGCCAUAGCACUAGCCUCUGCUUGGGUCAGGAGUCGACAGAGAAAAUGCAGUGUGUGGUCUUGUCUGGCUUCCUCUCUGGACUUGGCCCAGAAGCUUUUUUUUAUCAGCUGAGACAGUAACAGUUCCUUGACCUGGGUUUAUCUGCUGGUGUAGAACCUUGUAGAGAGCUGCCUGAAGAAAUGUCUUCCUGGUGGUGAAAGACCAUCCUCCUAGUGACAUGGUGACAUAUGGCUCUGUCCUUGGCCUCGGACACUGUGGCCCUGGCUGACCUGGGACCUGAGACGGGCAGCAGAAAGUCAGUCCUUGCCUCUAUGACUCUGAAGUUCCUCUUAUCAAGGGGCACUUCACUCUGGAAACGGGGCUGGCCUUUCUGCUCCGGAAGUGAUGAUGUAUCAGCUCUGAGCCCAGGCCUCAGGGGCUCUUGGAAGCUUUCCUCCGCCCCCUGGAACCCUGCCAUGGCCAUGUGAAGUAGCCCAGGCUGGCCUGCUGGACAAUGAGAAACCCCAUGGAGUAGAGCUGAAGACCCCAGUGACUGCAGAUAACACAAGAGCAGCCGGUGAUGGCCCAGAACAGCGCAGCCAGCCCAGGGACUCAUAAGCGACAAUACAGGUGUAUGAAACUCCAUGGCGACAAAGGGUUAGCAGGGAUUGGCUUUCUGAUCAUGCCAGAGGCAAGGAGAGCGGUGGACAGUGAUGCUGGGAAACCAGCUGCUCAAGAGUCAUCCAGGCCUCCGGUAUCUACAGCCGCAUGCAUGGUUGAGUCAACUAUACUUCUAUAGGGUCCAAGGUCUGCCCAAGCUCUACAAUUCUGGAUUCUUGUCCAGGCUAUGCUGUAGAAUGGCCCAGCUCUGCAAGUCACUUCUGGAAGGCACUCAGGAUGCCGAGCAGGAUGAGCUAGCGGACACUCUUAAACCUGUUAGUCCCACCUGUUCCUGUUGCCAGGCCUCUGCUGUUCUUUCUGCCUGGAGCACUUUCCCCUGGCUCUCUCCAUGGCUCAGUCCUUCUCAUCCUCAGGUCUCUGUUCCAAUGCCACCACUCUCAAAUGUCACUCUCUGUACUGCCUGGUUUAUUUCCCUCAAAGCUCUAAGCACAAUCUGUAAUGAUCUUGCAUAUCUGUUUAUCUAUUGCCUUUCCCCCCAGUUAGUCCACAAACCUCAUCAGGAAGGAUGGUAUGUCCUUGCUGACUGAGGUAUCUUCAGUCCUUGUCACCGUGCCAUUCUAUCACAGGCAGCCAAAAAAGAAUGACUCAUGUUUUUCAAAUGAAUAAUAUGGGAAUAAAUACAGAAGACCCAGGUUCCUGGAGGAAAUGCAGCAGCCUGAGCUCUUUAGAAAGGGUUUCCUGAGGUGCAGUCAUGUAUCACCUGUGGUGUGCAAGUGGACCAUGGGUGGAACUUACACUUUUUUACAGUUAUCUGUUUAUUUUAACCUAUUUUAGAAAGUUGGAACUAAGAAAUCAUCUUUAUUUAACAGAUUUUAUUGCUUAGGAUGAAGCUUAAAUACGUACUGAGCAUAGAAAAUGUGAAUUGAUCUAAAGACAACUGCUUAGUAAGUAAUAGCACAAAUAGUACAUGAGUAUGGAAAAAAGGUGAUUCUUUAGUGACUGAAGUUUGGGAGCCUCUGGCUCAAAACAAUGUUGGUAUAGCCAAAGGGAAUCCAGUCCAUAAUGUAGGCAUAUACUUAUUCAAUGAAUAAUUAUUAAGCACAUACUGUUUUCCAGCCAUUGUGCUAGGCACUAAGGUCAUGGCUCUAAAUAGAUAUAGCACUUGCCCUCCUGGAACCUCUGAUCUAGUGAAGGACAAAUAAAUACAUCAUUACAGGGUGGGGUGAAGGGAAAGGAGAACAAGUGUAAUGAGGGAAUUGAGGGGGCACCUGAGCAGAAGAUCAAGAGGUGAGCACAGGCUUGCAUGCGAAGACAACAGGAUGACAUGGGAAGACAACAGGAUAAGAAAAAACUGGGUAUGGAUGAGGCAGGCUGGUACUGCAGAGACUAAGAAUGCAUCUGUAAGUUACACUGACAGCAGGAAAGAGUAGAAUUAGGGAUGUAGAAAUUAAAAAUCAGAAAAAACUUGAGCCGGGUCUUGGGCUUCUCAAGUAAACGUCCAUGAGAUUGAGCUGAUGAGUAAGAAGGUACCUGGAAGCCAGAGGCAGUGUUCAGUUGGUGAUGCUACUGAAGAAGGGACCCGAAACAAAGUGGACAGAGCUAUAGGCCAAGCUCUCAUUAAAGAGACAUUUCCAGAGAUGAAAGAUGGCUAUGUGGGCAGAUCAAAGGCUAGCUUAGUCCUUACAAAAUAAAGCCCACAUCAGGAAUCCUCCCAUCCAUCCACCCAUCAUCUAUCUAUACAAACAUGAAUCAUUUAAAAUUUUGCAGAAAAUGCAAAAGUUCCAUAUUAUAGAUACCCAGAAUGAAUAAAGCAGCCUUUUCUACCAAUUCAAGCCAAACAAGGACUUUGUAGCAGCAUGAAGUGCUAGAAAACCACAGGUCGUCAUCCAGAAUUUUGCAGGAAAAAAUUUGGGACUCCCAAUACUUAGUAUUUAGCCAAUCUGUGUGAAGCAUUAAAAGACGUGCAACAGACUGAAAGGGAAUCCACCUCCCUCUUUAAAAAGUUCCUUGGAAAUGAUAGCAAGGACCUAAGAGAUGGUGUGAAAGAACUCAGGGAGGGAGAAAUUGUGCCAAAAAGGACAGUGACUGGGAUUGGACAAAGGGCUGAGUCCAGAUAACUAAUAAAUUAGCUUCAAACAUCAACAUUUUUCUUUAUGAAGAUAUAACAAUUAAUAAUGUAUACUUCAAUAAAGUUUUAAAAAAUGAAUAAUUUGAUAAAUUAAACCCCAAAUCCCAGACUAAAUUAACAAAGACAGAGGAGUUGGUAAUACAGAGGAAGAAGGGGAGGGAAGAAGUAUAGUAAAUGCACAGAAAAUUCUUUCCCACAAGGAACUGCCUACUCAUUUACGCUACUAGAGAAAAGCAAAAUGAAGAAUUAAAAACAGGACAGAUAGCUUUCAAAAUGCAGAAAAUAAAAAAGCAAGAAAAUGCAGCUCCUACAACAAAAGGGAUGGGAAAGAAAAAGCAGGGAGAAAAUCACCAAAAUUGUAGAGCAAGGUGACAGAAGCAUGGAAGUAGGACUGAUUGUGUUACUAUUGAAAAUCACUGGAAAUAGGCUAGACAUUGUAAUUUUUAAAAAUGACUACAAUAAAGAUUUCUCAUUCUCAAAUAAGACCUAGUCCUAUUUGCGUUUGCAAGCCUACCCCAGAACACAGGGACAGAAACAUUUUAUAUGAA